AAUGAAUGUUAGAAAUGGCGGAGAUACUCUUUGUUCUGCUUCUCGUUGGCGUAAUGGGCAUUUCCUAUGCAGGGGGAGUUUUCUUCGUGAAAAUAAUCAAGACGAAUACUCUUUAGCGAUGUUGCCAGGGGUAGUACUUCAGUAGUGGAGCUUCUUCUUGACCAUGGAAGUGAUGUCUUGCUCACAGAUGACCAGAGUUACACAUCAUUGCACCUUUCUGCAGCAUGGGAAAGUGCACCAACUGUUAACUUACUUCUUGCUGCUGGGUCAGAUAUUAAUGCAUUGAACAGAAAGACAGCUGCUGAUGUUGUCAGUCAGUCACCAGAAGUCUCCUUAGCACUUCAUGCUAUUGCUUGUCAAGCACCUUAGCUACAAUACUUUUGCAUUUCAGUAUCAGGAAAUUGCUCUCUUAGGAUCCUGUUAAAAAGAUCAGUUGGCCUCCAGUAUCCAAGUUUUUAUCAAAUUACAUUGAAAAUAUUUUUCUGGUAUUUUUCUUUAAUUCAGAGUAGUGCUCAGAUGCAGGUUUAUGUGUCAACAUUGUUAUUCUGUAUGCAGUUGUGUGAGUAGUAAGAAUUUUAGGUCUUGACCUAAAGAACUUUUAUAGAUAUCAUUGCUACUGCUGAUGUUGUAUUUAUAGUGCAUUAAUUUUUUUCAGAAGCAGUUUGCUUUGUGAAACACAGGCUUUAAUGCUAUUUGAUAGAUUUAUUAUGUAUUUGUUUAUUAAAUAUUUUAAAAUUCUGCAAUAGA